AUACGGAGGAUCCGAGCGUUAUCCGGAUUUAUUGGGUUUAAAGGGUGCGCAGGCGGGAGAUUAAGUCGGCGGUGAAAUUUUUCAGCUCAACUGUAAAAGAGCCUUCGAAAAUGGGUUUCUUGAGUGUAGAUGAAGUAGGCGGAAUUUGUGGUGUUGCCGUGAAAUGCAUAGAUAUCACGAGGAAAUCCGAAUGCGCAGGCAGCUUACUAAACUACUACUGACGCUCAGGCACGAAGGCGUAGGGAACAAACAGGAUUAGAUACCCUGGUAGUCCACGCAGUAAACGAUGAUUACUAGCUGUUUGCGAUACAAUGUAAGCGGCUGAGCGAAAGCGUUAAGUAAUCCACCUGGGGAGUACGUUCGCAAGAAAGAAACUCAAAUAAAUUUACGGGG
rnacentral:rRNA from 1 species